CCUACGGGGGGCAGCAGUGAGGAAUAUUGGUCAAUGGGCGGAAGCCUGAACCAGCCAAGUCGCGUGAGGGAAUAAGGCCCUACGGGUCGUAAACCUCUUUUGCCGGGGAGCAAGGGCCGGGACGCGUCCCGGCCCGGAGAGUACCCGGAGAAAAAGCAUCGGCUAACUCCGUGCCAGCAGCCGCGGUAAUACGGAGGAUGCGGGCGUUAUCCGGAUUUAUUUGGUUUAAAGGGUGCGUAGGCGGGCUUUUAAGUCAGCGGUAAAAAUUCGGGGCUCAACCCCGUCCGGCCGUUGAAACUGGGGGG
rnacentral:rRNA from 1 species